rnacentral:rRNA from 1 species
AUUGAACGCUGGCGGCAUGCUUUACACAUGCAAGUCGAACGGCAGCACGGACUUCGGUCUGGUGGCGAGUGGCGAACGGGUGAGUAAUGCAUCGGAAUGUACCGUGUAAUGGGGGAUAACUAGCCGAAAGGAUAGCUAAUACCGCAUACGCCCCGAGGGGGAAAGCAGGGGAUCUUCGGACCUUGCGUUAUACGAGCAGC